rnacentral:rRNA from 1 species
UAGUCAUAUGCUUGUCUAAAGGACUAAGCCAUGCAUGUCUAAGUAUAAGCAAUUUAUACUUGCGAAACUGCGAAUGGCUCAUUAAAUCAGUUAUAGUUUACUUGAUAGUUUCUUGCUACAUGGAUACCGGUGGCAAAGUACCGCUAAUACAUGCAACAACCCCGCAAGGGGUGUAUUUAUUAGAUACAAACCAACCUGGGCAACCAGUGUAUGUUGAAUCAUAAUAACUUCACGAAUCGCAUGGCCUUGAGCUGGCGAUGAAUCAUUCAAAUUUCUGCCCUAUCAACUUUUGAUGGUACGUUAGAGGCCUACCAUGGUUAUGACGGGUAACGGAGAAUUAGGGUUCGAUUCCGGAGAGGGAGCCUGAGAAAUGGCUACCACAUCCAAGGAAGGCAGCAGGCGCGCAAAUUGCCCAAUCUCGAUACGAGGAGGCAGCGACAAGAAAUAACAGUGCUGGGCUUUUUCAAGUCUAGCAAUUGGAAUGAGUACAAUUUAAACACCUUAACAAAUUCCAUU